CCAAUUGUGGACAAGAUAAGGACCAUUGCCCAGGCUGUCUAUGGAGCCAAAGAUAUCGAACUCUGUCCUGAGGCACAAGUCAAAAUAGAUCGUUACACUCAGCAGGGUUUUGGAAAUUUGCCCAUCUGCAUGGCAAAGACCGAUCUUUCUCUGUCUCACCAACCUGACAAAAAAGGUGUGCCAAGGGACUUCAUCUUACCUAUCAGUGAUGUCCGGGCCAGCAUAGGUGCUGGGUUCAUUUACCCUUUGGUCGGAACGUCUCGCUCUGUUGCCCAGGCUAAAGUGCAGUGGCAUGAUCUCGGCUCACUGCAACCUCCACCUCCCGGGUUCACACCAUUCUCCUGCCUCAGCCUCCCAAGUAGCAGGGACUACAGGCACCCGCCACCACACCUGGCUAACUUUUUGUAUUUUUAGUGGAGACUGAGAUGACCCAAAUUCUUAACUGCCUCAUAAAUACUGUUAAUAUAUUGAAAGUUUUGCCCUAGGCUUUUAUUAAAGUCAACUAUAU
rnacentral:lncRNA from 1 species